GACGAACGCUGGCGGCGUGCUUAACACAUGCAAGUCGAACGGAAAUGCCCUGCUUUUGUGGGGUGCUCGAGUGGCGAACGGGUGAGUAACACGUGAGUAACCUGCCCUUGACUUUGGGAUAACUUCAGGAAACUGGGGCUAAUACCGGAUAGGAGCUCCUGCUGCAUGGUGGGGGUUGGAAAGUUUCGGCGGUUGGGGAUGGACUCGCGGCUUAUCAGCUUGUUGGUGGGGUAGUGGCUUACCAAGGCUUUGACGGGUAGCCGGCCUGAGAGGGUGACCGGCCACAUUGGGACUGAGAUACGGCCCAGACUCCUACGGGAGGCAGCAGCGGGGAAUAUUGCACAAUGGGCGGAAGCCUGAUGCAGCAACGCCGCGUGCGGGAUGACGGCCUUCGGGUUGUAAACCGCUUUCGCCUGUGACGAAGCGUGAGUGACGGUAAUGGGUAAAGAAGCACCGGCUAACUACGUG
rnacentral:rRNA from 1 species